rnacentral:lncRNA from 1 species
GUAUAUUUUCGAAAUUGGGUUGUAACUGGGCUGUGAUGAUUUGUGUGUCUGAGCCCAAUGUCCAUUAUUUAAUUUUGGGCCGGAUCACCCGAUCCGACCCGUCCAUGUGUAAUAAGUAUAUAUGUAGGUGAGAUAUUUUCUCACCUACCGAGACUCAUUCUUUCAUUUUAAUAUACUUCUCUCACCUUCCAGAGAAUUCCUAAACGCUCUGCCUUCUCUCUACUUUCUCUCUAGGUGAGAUAUUUUAUCACCUACCGAGACUCAUUCUUUCACUUCAUUUUCUGUAAUAUACUUCUCUCAUCUUCUAGAGAAUUCCAAAACGCUCUGCCUUCUCUCUACUUUCUCUCUGUAGAUUCUCUAUGAUUUCUCGGUCUAAUAUGAAUGUUUACAUAGUAUCAGAGCCUCGACGACGAUCCGACUAUGUUUCUAUGUACUUCGUUGUCUUGGAUGAAGUUACCUAGGGUUUGAUACCUAGGGUUUCUCUGUUGUUUGAAGGCUGAUCUUCUCCGGUCGCGAAGAAAGAGGGUAACUCUGUCCUUAUCUUCGGUAUUAUAUGUGAUUAUCUGACUCUGUUUGCUGGUUAUUGUGUGUGAAUACCUGUUUUUGGUUAUACUCUGUCUGUUGAAAAGUUGUUCGUUUAAGCAGGUUCAUUGACCAUGGCUUCUAACACAAAUACUAGUGCCUCCCCUUCUGUAGACUCUUCCAGUCCCUUUUUUGUAUAUUCUUCUGAUGUUCCUGGGGUCUCCCUUGUUCCCACUCCCUUCUCGGGUAGUGGUUAUGGGGGCUGGAGACGUAAAAUGAUUGUUGCCUUAUCAACAUCCUGGGGUAUGUCUCGUUCCCACUCCCUUCUCGGGUAGUGGUUAUGGGGGCUGGAGACGUAAAAUGAUUGUUGCCCUAUAAGUCAAAAACAAAAUCGGUUUUGUUGAUGGCACAUACUCCCGACCUGCCACUAAUGUGGCUCAGCAAAGGUUGUGGGAUAGUUCCAACAACAUGGUGAUUUCUUGGUUAACUGCUUCCAUCUCCCCUGCAAUUGCUGAGUCUGUGCAGUACUCUGACACUGCACAAAGCAUAUGGUCCCAACUCCAGGCCAGAUAUGGCACUGCAAACAGGACCAAAAUUUUUGAACUGAAAAGAGAGUUGUCCCACACCUCUCAAGGGUCCUUAGAUAUAGCUUCCUAUUUUAAUAAGCUAAAAGGAAAUCUUUGAACUGAAAAGAGAGUUGUCCCACACCUCUCAAGGGUCCUUAAAUAUAGCUUCCUAUUUUAAUAAGCUAAAAGGACCGUGGGAUGAACUUGAUUCAAUAUGUGUUAAUCACGGUCAAAUGUGUAUUUGUGCUGCAAAAGAUGGCAUAGUACAGGAAAGUGAUGACAAUAAGGUUUUUCAGUUUUUAUGGGUCUGAAUGAAGCAUAUAUGGGGGUCAGGAGUAAUCUUUUGAUGAUGCAGCCUCCUCCUUCUCUUGACAAUGUCUAUAAUAUGGUCCUUAAUGACGAGAAACAAAGACAAUUUCAGUCUUCUUCUCACUUUAAUCCAGACUCUGUCUCUUUCAAUGUACAUACUAACAGGCAGCCUGUUGGAUUUAACAAGGCCACACUGUCUUAUCCUCCUCCUCCUUUCAGAUAGAGAGUCAAUUUUGACCAACAGAGAGUCAAUUUUGACCAAGCCAGGGGACCUUGAUAAUUUGGUCCUCAAUUAUGAGAAACAAAGACAAGUCCAGUCUUCUUCUCACUUUAAUCUAGACUCUGUCUCUUUCAAUGUACAUACUAAUAGGCAGCCUGCUGGAUUUACCAAGGCCACAGUGCCUGUUCCUCCUUCCCCUUUCAGACAGAGAGUCAAUUUUGACUAGGCUAGAGGACCUUAAUUCUGUAGAUACUGUAAAAAAUCAGGACACUUAAUUGAUAUGCUACAUGAUUUAGCUUUGUAUAGACCAGGCUGGAGGACCUUUAUUCUGUAGAUAUUAUAAAAAAUCUGGACACUUAAUUGAUAAGUGCUUCAAGAUCCAUGUGUAUCCACAAAGUAACACUUUUAACAAGGGAAGGAGACCGGCUGCUGCCCAUUUAAGUACUGGUCUGGAUUCUCUUCAUUCUGAUGGUCUUCUAUUUGUUCCUCAAGGGAAUCCUCCUGAUAGCCAUCAAUCUGUUGCAAGAAUAGAUGACCAGACCUCUGUGAUACUAGGGUUGAGCAGACAAGAUUAUGACCAGUUGAUGACUUUAUUACAUUAGACCAAGUUUGGGGACUCCACUGCUCAGACUCCUCCUACCACAUAUGCUGCAAACUUUGCUGGUACUAUGUUAACUGAGAGCCCUAUUUCUG